CAGAAGGUAGUUUAAUUAAAAUUCCAGCUUUGGGAGUUGGCGAUGAAGGUUUGAUUCCUUUCUUUCUGA
rnacentral:tRNA from 1 species